rnacentral:rRNA from 1 species
AACGAACGCUGGCGGCAGGCCUAACACAUGCAAGUCGAACGCCCUAGCAAUAGGGAGUGGCAGACGGGUGAGUAACGCGUGGGAGCGUACCCUUCGGUUCGGAAUAAGCCGGGGAAACCUGGUCUAAUACCGGAUACGUGCGAGAGCAGAAAGAUUUAUCGCCGAAGGAUCGGCCCGCGUCCGAUUAGCUAGUUGGUGAGGUAAUGGCUCACCAAGGCGACGAUCGGUAGCUGGUCUGAGAGGAUGAUCAGCCACACUGGUACUUAGACACGGACCAGACUCCUACGGGAGGCAGCAGUGGGGAAUAUUGCGCAAUGGGCGAAAGCCUGACGCAGCAACGCCGCGUGGGUGAAGAAGGUCUUCGGAUCGUAAAGCCCUGUCAAGUGGGAAGAAACCUGCUCUUGAGGCAGCUGACGGUACCACUGAAGGAAGCACCGGCUAACUCCGUGCCAG